rnacentral:ncRNA from 2 species
UUCUUAUCAAGAGAGGUUGAGGGAAAGGCCCGAUGACACCUCAGCAACCUUCAAUGGAUGAUCCAUUGAAAAGGUGCUAAUUCCUGCAAAUUAAUGUUAAUUUGCGAGAUAAGAA